AGGAAUGCCUCCCCAAACCUGUACCCAUUCUUGUAAGAACAUAGACGAAUCUGGUAGCAAAGUUACAUACCUAACUCAGCCACAGUGAUGGUAACCAGGCUUCCAACUCAUUCUAUGGUGGCUUGAAGAAAGGAGGCAAAGGAGAUGAAAACAGAUUUUGGAGAAUAAAAUAAUACAUAUUUACUUACACACACAGAGAAGACCACUUUUAUUUUUUUAGAAAUCUGUAACAACGUGGGACCUGUUUUGAGCUCUGUGAUGCUGCUGUUCCUAUUACACAUCUGUCUGAAUGAAAUCAGAAGAAAGACCUUGGGUUCUUGGUUCAAACUGAGUUUGAAACUGAAGGGCAGAGGUUGGCAUACAUGUCAAGAGAACAUUCUCCAGCUGGGGCCUGCAGUAUAGAGAAUUGUAUACUCCAGAGGGCUCAUGGGACCUUAGGCAGAUUAUUAUGGUAAUAUUGGAGACUGCUGUCCUUUCCCUCCCACAGCUGGGCCGCCUCUCUCAUUCAUUAGAGAAGCCACCAUGUGUCUCUGUGAAGCCAGACAUUUGCUACUCCUGAGCUGACAUGAAGACUUGUAUUUCACAACAUUUGACGCAGGAUUGCACACAGCAGGAUGAGGUGAAAAGGAAAAGGUAAGGGUAAAGGGUGUUUUGCAAGAUACAGAAGCAAGUGCUCUGAGGCAUUUUCUCUUUGGU